rnacentral:rRNA from 1 species
UACGUAGGGUGCAAGCGUUGUCCGGAAUUAUUGGGCGUAAAGAGCUCGUAGGCGGCUUGUCACGUCGGUUGUGAAAGCCCGGGGCUUAACCCCGGGUCUGCAGUCGAUACGGGCAGGCUAGAGUUCGGUAGGGGAGAUCGGAAUUCCUGGUGUAGCGGUGAAAUGCGCAGAUAUCAGGAGGAACACCGGUGGCGAAGGCGGUUCUCUGGGCAUUACCUGACGCUGAGGAGCGAAAGUGUGGGGAGCGAACAGG